GAAGGAAGCCAAACGAUGCAGGGAGGAGGCACCGUCGGAGCUCCUUUUUUCCUCGCCCCAUUUCCAUUUGCGCCUCCCUCACAAAAAGUUUGGCCCUUUUUCCGAGAGGGUUUUCUCUUCCCUUCCCUUCCCUUCCCUUCCCCGAGAGCAAGAGCCGGGAGGGAUGCAGGCCGCCGAGGGGAGGAGCAGGGGCUCGCCGUCGACCAUGGACAGGCCCGACGAGCGCGCCAAGAAGGCGCGGCUGGAGCUGGACCUGCCCAACGGCGGCCCCGUCAAGCAAGAGCUCGUCGCGCACGAGGCGGCCGCCGGAGGAGCAGCCGCCAUCGUCGCGGCGGAGGCGCGCAGCCCGAGGGCGGAGCUGGCGGUGAGGAUCGACAUGUGCGUUCUCCACUGCCCGCUCUGCCAACUCCCCUUCAAGCCCCCCGUCUUCCAGUGCAAGCGCGGCCACCUGGCCUGCGGCGGGUGCGUGGCGCGGCUGCCGUGCGGGCAGUGCAAGGCGUGCGCCGACGGGGACGGCUUCUUCGACCCCUGCCCCGCGCUGGACGCCGUGGUGUCGUCGACGAGGGUCGGGUGCCCCAACGCCGGCUGCCACAGGUACGUCACCUACCACGAGGCCGACGAGCACCAGCGCGCGUGCCCGCACGCGCCCUGCCGCUGCGCGGAGCCCGGCUGCGCCUUCGUCGGCGCGGCGCCGGACCUCGCGUUCCACGUCAACGCCGCCCACUCCGUCCCGGUGCGCUCCGUCCAGUACGGCAAGGUGAGCCGGUUCCAGGUGCCCGUGUCGACCCCGCGGAUGCUGCUGGUCGGCGAGGACGACGGCCGCGUGUUCCUGCUCACCGCGGGCGCGCUCGGCGCCGCGGCCACCGCCGUGUCCGUGGUCUGCGCCAGGGGCAGCGCGGCGACCAAGCCGCGGUUCACGUGCAAGAUGUGGGUCAACCUGACGGCGUCGGCGGCCGCCAACGGCGGCAAGGCCGACAUCGCGCUGGUGGAGAUGCAGGUGAGGAGCAGCACGUGCCCCGGCAACGUUGUCGCCGCCGCCGAGCCGACGUUCCUCGCCGUGACGCCGGCGUACCUGGUCCCGGGAGCGGACGGGGCGGCGCCCAUGGAGAUGCCCCUCAACGUCCGCAUCGACAAGGCUCUGCCUUGGUCCGACUGAUCCAUCGAGGUUCCUCAACCUUCGUGGCAGCUGAAAUGCUUGAAACUAUCUGAAGUACUGUAGUAUGAUUGUAGACACUUGCAUUGCAUGCUCUACUGAUCCUGUUAAGAAAUGCCAUAAGCAUGGAUGCCAAGCCAUGAAUUUCUGAGCUCAUAUUGAUGUAAAAUUUCUGAGCUCAUAACUUUUGGGGGCAUCAUAUCUCUCUACCAAACGCACCAAAAUUGCUCCAUGAUGAACUGCUUCACAUUAUUCAGAGAAUGCAGCCUGCGAUCUGGAUGUUA